UACGUAGGGUGCAAGCGUUGUCCGGAAUUAUUGGGCGUAAAGAGCUCGUAGGCGGCUCGGUAAGUCAGGUGUGAAAACUCUAGGCUCAACCUAGAGACGCCACCUGAUACUGCCGUGGCUAGAGUCCGGUAGGGGAGCAUGGAAUUCCUGGUGUAGCGGUGAAAUGCGCAGAUAUCAGGAGGAACACCAGUGGCGAAGGCGGUGCUCUGGGCCGGAACUGACGCUGAGGAGCGAAAGCGUGGGGAGCAAACAGG
rnacentral:rRNA from 1 species